rnacentral:rRNA from 1 species
UGAAUACGAGAUGCUACGGCGUCGAAGCAGUCUAUGUCACACUUCCAAGAAAAGCUUGCACUGUCAUAAACAAAUAAUGCCUGUACCAUAACCGACACAGGUGGGUAGGUAGAGUAUACUAAGGGGCGCGAGAUAACUCUCUCUAAGGAACUCGGCAAAAUGACUCCGUAACUUCGGGAGAAGGAGUGCCUUAUUUAUAAGGUUGCAAUAACAAGAUCCAAGCAACUGUUUAUCAAAAACACAGGUCUCCGCUAAGUCGUAAGACGAUGUAUGGGGGCUGACGCCUGCCCAGUGCCAGAAGGUUAAAGAAGUUGGUUAGUGUAUGCGAAGCUGAUGACUGAAGCCCUGGUGAACGGCGGCCGUAACGAUAACGGUCCUAAGGUAGCGAAAUUCCUUGUCGGGUAAGUUCCGACCCGCACGAAAGGCGUAAUGAUUUGGAUACUGUCUCGGAGAGAGGCUCGGUGAAAUAGACUUGUCUGUGAAGAUGCGGCCUACCUGCACCAGGACAGAAAGACCCUAUGAAGCUUUACUGUAACUUGAAAUUGGAAUUGGACUUUGCUUGCGCAGUAUAGGUGGGAAGCGUUGAAGAUAUUCUUGCGGGAGUAUUGGAGCUAUCAGUGAGAUACCACUCUUGUAAUGUUAGAUUUCUAACUUUGAACCAUAAUCUGGUCAAAGAACAGUUUCAGGUGGGCAGUUUGACUGGGGCGGUCGCCUCCCAAAUGGUAACGGAGGCGUACAAAGGUUUCCUCUGAACGGAUAGAAAUCGUAUCUAGAGUGUAAAGGCAUAAGGAAGCUUGACUGUGAGACCUACAAGUCGAGCAGGGACGAAAGUCGGUCUUAGUGAUCUGACGGUACUGAGUGGAAAGGCCGUCACUCAACGGAUAAAAGUUACUCUAAGGAUAACAGGCUGAUCUCCCCCAAGAGUUCACAUCGACGGGGAGGUUUGGCACCUCGAUGUCGGCUCAUCGCAUCCUGGGGCGGUAGUACGUCCCAAGGGUUGGGCUGUUCGCCCAUGAAAGCGGUACGCGAGCUGGGUUCAGAACGUCGUGAGACAGUUCGGUCCAUAUCCGGUGUAGGCGUUAGAAUAUUGAGAGGAGCCUUCUUUAGUACGAGAGGACCGAGAAGGACACACCGCCGGUGUACCAGUUAUCGUGCCAACGGUAAACGCUGGGUAGCUAUGUGUGGAGUGGAUAACCGCUGAAGGCAUCUAAGUGGGAAGCCCACCUCAAGAUGAG